CUCUUCUUCUGGGUCUGAUGGCUUCCCCAGUCACUCUUUUAAGUCUUGCUGCCCUUAUCCGGAUGUAAACGAACUUGUUUGUGAACUUAAAAAGCAGCUGGAGACUAUUUUCAAGCAGGAAAUUAAUGAAACUGUUCGAAAAGUUUCAGAUCUGGCCAUAAAGAACAAUCAAGUCUGCAUUAAGGUUGGAGACAGAGUCAGAGUGAAACCUUCUAUUAAAACCCCAAAAUAUGAUUGGAGUAGCGCUAUCACACAAAAGAGUGUGGGAGUGGUAAAAGGCAAGAUAUGUAUUAUUCUCAUAAACACAAAUGGUACAUUAUGCUGCAAAACAUCACAAACGAGUAUGUGCAGCACUCACAUUUGCAUGUUCUUCUUUCAGAUAUUAAAAGUGAUAAGUGUUUGGUCAUUGACUUUCCUGGAUUUGCAAGCUGGAGAGGACUUCUUUCUGAAAUUGAGCCAGUAACUGAUGAUGAUGAGUGCGAAUCUUCAGCUCUCAACUGCAAUAUUAAAAUAGGAGAUAAGGUCUGUGUGAAGCCAUCUGUAGAAACGCCCAAGUAUCUAUGGGGUUCAGUCAGCCACAAAAGCAUUGGCAGUGUCAUAAAUGUGCAGGGUGAGACUGUGACAGUAGAUUUCCCUGGGCAGGAAAGUUGGAUUGGUG
rnacentral:lncRNA from 1 species